UGAGUAAUACAUCGGAACAUGUCCUGUAGUGGGGGAUAGCCCGGCGAAAGCCGGAUUAAUACCGCAUACGAUCUACGGAUGAAAGCGGGGGACCUUCGGGCCUCGCGCUAUAGGGUUGGCCGAUGGCUGAUUAGCUAGUUGGUGGGGUAAAGGCCUACCAAGGCGACGAUCAGUAGCUGGUCUGAGAGGACGACCAGCCACACUGGGACUGAGACACGGCCCAGACUCCUACGGGAGGCAGCAGUGGGGAAUUUUGGACAAUGGGCGAAAGCCUGAUCCAGCAAUGCCGCGUGUGUGAAGAAGGCCUUCGGGUUGUAAAGCACUUUUGUCCGGAAAGAAAUCCUUGGCUCUAAUACAGUCGGGGGAUGACGGUACCGGAAGAAUAAGCACCGGCUAACUACGUGCCAGCAGCCGCGGUAAUACGUAGGGUGCAAGCGUUAAUCGGAAUUACUGGGCGUAAAGCGUGCGCAGGCGGUUUGUUAAGACCGAUGUGAAAUCCCCGGGCUCAACCUGGGAACUGCAUUGGUGACUGGCAAGCUAGAGUAUGGCAGAGGGGGGUAGAAUUCCACGUGUAGCAGUGAAAUGCGUAGAGAUGUGGAGGAAUACCGAUGGCGAAGGCAGCCCCCUGGGCCAAUACUGACGCUCAUGCACGAAAGCGUGGGGAGCAAACAGGAUUAGAUACCCUGGUAGUCCACGCCCUAAACGAUGUCAACUAGUUGUUGGGGAUUCAUUUCCUUAGUAACGUAGCUUACGCGUGAAGUUGACCGCCUGGGGAGUACGGUCGCAAGAUUAAAACUCAAAGGAAUUGACGGGGACCCGCACAAGCGGUGGAUGAUUGUGGAUUAAUUCGAUGCAACGCGAAAAACCUUACCUACCCUUGACAUGGUCGGAAUCCUGCUGA
rnacentral:rRNA from 1 species